UACCGCUGACGACCGGCGCACGGGUGAGUAACGCGUAUGCAACCUGCCUAGUAACUGGGGAAUAGCUCCCUGAAAGGGGGAAUUAACACCGCAUAACACUAUUGAUUCGCAUGGAUUGGUAGUUAAAUGUAGCGAUACAGGUUAUAGAUGGGCAUGCGUGACAUUAGCUAGUUGGUGAGGUAACGGCUCACCAAGGCUACGAUGUCUAGGGGUUCUGAGAGGAAGGUCCCCCACCGGGACUGGUACUGAGACACGGACCAGACUCCUACGGGAGGCAGCAGUGAGGAAUAUUGGUCAAUGGGCGCAAGCCUGAACCAGCCAUGUCGCGUGCAGGAAGACUGCCCUAUGGGUUGUAAACUGCUUUUAUAGUAGAAGAAACACAUCUACGUGUAGAUGUCUGCCAGUAUACUAUGAAUAAGCAUCGGCUAACUCCGUGCCAGCCGCUGC
rnacentral:rRNA from 1 species